AGUGAACGCUGGCGGUAGGCCUAACACAUGCAAGUCGAACGGCAGCACAGUAAGAGCUUGCUCUUACGGGUGGCGAGUGGCGGACGGGUGAGGAAUACAUCGGAAUCUACUUUUUCGUGGGGGAUAACGUAGGGAAACUUACGCUAAUACCGCAUACGACCUACGGGUGAAAGCAGGGGAUCUUCGGACCUUGCGCGAUUGAAUGAGCCGAUGUCGGAUUAGCUAGUUGGCGGGGUAAAGGCCCACCAAGGCGACGAUCCGUAGCUGGUCUGAGAGGAUGAGGAGCAGCACUGGGAAUGAGAGACGGUCCAGAAUACGACGGGAGACACAAGUGGGGGGGAGUGGACAAUGGGCGCAAGCUUGAACGAGCCAUGCAGCGAGAGUAAAGAAGGCAUUCGAGUUGUAAGUCCGGUUGGUGGGAAAAAAAAAACAAGAGGCUACUACCCCGCUGCCCGGAGGGGUGGCAAAGGAUAAGAAAACACACGAUUAAUC
rnacentral:rRNA from 1 species